UCCCUUGUGGCUCAGUCGGUAGAGCAUGGCGUUUGCAACGCCAGGGUUGUGGGUUCAAUUCCCAUGGGGGAG
rnacentral:tRNA from 1 species